rnacentral:rRNA from 1 species
AGUCGAGCGGUAGAGAGGUGCUUGCACCUCUUGAGAGCGGCGGACGGCUGAGUAAAGCCUAGGAAUCUGCCUGGUAGUGGGGGAUAACGCUCGGAAACGGACGCUAAUACCGCAUACGUCCUACGGGAGAAAGCAGGGGACCUUCGGGCCUUGCGCUAUCAGAUGAGCCUAGGUCGGAUUAGCUAGUUGGUGAGGUAAUGGCUCACCAAGGCGACGAUCCGUAACUGGUCUGAGAGGAUGAUCAGUCACACUGGAACUGAGACACGGUCCAGACUCCUACGGGAGGCAGCAGUGGGGAAUAUUGGACAAUGGGCGAAAGCCUGAUCCAGCCAUGCCGCGUGUGUGAAGAAGGUCUUCGGAUUGUAAAGCACUUUAAGUUGGGAGGAAGGGCAUUAACCUAAUACGUUAGUGUUUUGACGUUACCGACAGAAUAAGCACCGGCUAACUCUGUGCCAGCAGCCGCGGUAAUACAGAGGGUGCAAGCGUUAAUCGGAAUUACUGGGCGUAAAGCGCGCGUAGGUGGUUCGUUAAGUUGGAUGUGAAAUCCCCGGGCUCAACCUGGGAACUGCAUUCAAAACUGUCGAGCUAGAGUAU